rnacentral:lncRNA from 1 species
CAGAAACACACCAGACUAACAUUUGCAGAAGUAUCUCCUUUUUGGGGUACCUGCCUGACCAUAACUUGUGCUUCUGAGUGAAGCCGCCAAGAUCCAAGGUAGCCAAAACAAAUAAAGAGAUAAUGAGCAAGCAUACCAACUUUGGACGCCACAAGAUGGGUGGUCAUGAUGCAGAAGGGCUGAAGAACUUCUGGGAGAAAGUCAUCCAAGAGCAAACCAGACAACGAGAAGGUGAAGAGCUUAGGUUAAGGAAAAGUGCACUGAACAAGCUUCGCCAUGAGUGGACUGAGAGGCUGGAAGGCCGAGCAAAGCAGGUCCAGGCGCACAUGAAAAAGCAGAAAGAGCAGAUGACGUUGCUGUCUAUUGAGGCUCUUCCCUCACCAGAUAAAACUGUUGCUUAAGGUUACUGUGAAAAUACAAAAAAGCCCUGGGCUUGACUCUGACCUUCUGCAUGCCCCUAUUAACCAGUUACAUUGCUGAACAAGCAAGAGCUCAGACUCUGGCACUUUUCCAGACCAGUUAUUAGAGCUGCUAGUAAAGUCCUACAUAAAUUCAGUGCAAGAAUAAGGCCACAGUACAUAAUCUCUUGAAGACUAUGGAGGGAGGGAUGAGAAGCAGGCAUCUAUAUGUUCACAUGAUAUAUUAUUACUCCAAAGUAGGACGACUUUAUUAUGUAACUGCAUUUUCAAAUGACAAAAAACAUAUUUCUCAGAAAGCGUAUCGCUUGUUUAAUAGGUAUAAUACAUUCAGAUUGCUGCAAGUAAAGUUGUACAUUUCCGUUUACAGAGCUCUCAGACUCUGGCUUAAUGCAGGUGUCAUCUGCCUUGCCUGUCUUGAGCCAGGUUGAGGAUUAGUCUGAUCAGCUGGACAAAAGAGGAAAUACAUUUUUUUUUAAUGGAAUCAGGAAAAAGAAGGAAUGAGGGUUUUGUGAUCAAUGUAUAGGAGAGUUUCCAGAUCUGAAUCACUAGUUGAAAAGAG